rnacentral:rRNA from 1 species
UACAGAGGUCUCAAGCGUUGUUCGGAUUCAUUGGGCGUAAAGGGUGCGUAGGCGGCCAACUAAGUCAGACGUGAAAUCCCUCGGCUUAACCGGGGAACUGCGUCUGAUACUGGAUGGCUAGAGUUUGGGAGAGGGAUGCGGAAUUCCAGGUGUAGCGGUGAAAUGCGUAGAUAUCUGGAGGAACACCGGUGGCGAAGGCGGCAUCCUGGACCAACACUGACGCUGAGGAACGAAAGCCAGGGGAGCAAACGGG